rnacentral:rRNA from 1 species
GAUUUUAGCAUGGAAUAAUGGAAUAGGACAUCGGUUCUAUUUUGUUGGUUUCUAGGACCGCUGUAAUGAUUAAUAGGGAUAGUCGGGGGCGUCCGUAUUCAAUUGUCAGAGGUGAAAUUCUUGGAUUUAUUGAAGACGAACUACUGCGAAAGCAUUCGCCAAGGAUGUUUUCAUUAAUCAGUGAACGAAAGUUAGGGGAUCGAAGACGAUCAGAUACCGUCGUAGUCUUAACCAUAAACUAUGCCGACUAGGGAUCGGACGAUGUUAUUUCUUGACGCGUUCGGCACCUUUCGAGAAAUCAAAGUGCUUGGGCUCCAGGGGGAGUAUGGUCGCAAGGCUGAAACUUAAAGAAAUUGACGGAAGGGCACCACCAGGGGUGGAACCUGCGGCUUAAUUUGACUCAACACGGGGAAACUCACCAGGUCCAGACACAGUGAGGAUUGACAGAUUGAGAGCUCUUUCUUGAUUCUGUGGGUGGUGGUGCAUGGCCGUUCUUAGUUGGUGGAGUGAUUUGUCUGCUUAAUUGCGAUAACGAACGAGACCUUAACCUGCUAAAUAGCCCGUACUGCUCUGGCAGUUCGCCGGCUUCUUAGAGGGACUAUCGGCUCAAGCCGAUGGAAGUUUGAGGCAAUAACAGGUCUGUGAUGCCCUUAGAUGUCCUGGGCCGCACGCGCGUUACACUGACAGGGCCAGCGAGUACCUCCUUGGCCGAAAGGCCCGGGUAAUCUUGUUAAACUCCGUCGUGCUGGGGAUAGGGCAUUGCAAU